GAUGAACGCUGGCGGCGUGCUUAACACAUGCAAGUCGAACGGGAAACCUUUUAUUGAAGCUUCGGCAGAUUUAGCUGGUUUCUAGUGGCGGACGGGUGAGUAACGCGUGGGUAACCUGCCUUAUACAGGGGGAUAACAGUCAGAAAUGGCUGCUAAUACCGCAUAAGCGCACAGAGCUGCAUGGCUCAGUGUGAAAAACUCCGGUGGUAUAAGAUGGACCCGCGUUGGAUUAGCUGGUUGGUGGGGUAACGGCCCACUAAGGCGACGAUCCAUAGCCGGCCUGAGAGGGUGAACGGCCACAUUGGGACUGAGACACGGCCCAGACCCCUACGGGAGGCAGCAGUGGGGAAUAUUGCACAAUGGGGGAAACCCUGAUGCAGCGACGCCGCGUGAAGGAAGAAGUAUCUCGGUAUGUAAACUUCUAUCAGCAGGGAAGAUAAUGACGGUACCUGACUAAGAAGCCCCGGCUAACUACGUG
rnacentral:rRNA from 1 species